rnacentral:rRNA from 1 species
CCUACGGGGGGCAGCAGUAGGGAAUAUUGCUCAAUGGGGGAAACCCUGAAGCAGCAACGCCGCGUGGAGGAUGAAGGUUUUCGGAUUGUAAACUCCUUUUGUUAGAGAAGAUAAUGACGGUAUCUAACGAAUAAGCACCGGCUAACUCCGUGCCAGCAGCCGCGGUAAUACGGAGGGUGCAAGCGUUACUCGGAAUCACUGGUCGGAAAGAGCGCGCAGGGGGGAUAGAAAGUAAGAUGUGAAAUCCUAUUGCUUAACCAUAGAACUGCAUUUGAAACUGUUAUUCUAGAGUAUGGGAGAGGUAGGUGGAAUUCUUGGUGUAGGGGUAAAAUGCGUAGAGAUCAAGAGGAAUACUCAUGGCGAAGGCGACCUGCUAGAACAUAACUGACGCUGAUGCGCGAAAGCGUGGGGAGCAAACAGGAUUAGAUACCCCAGUAGUC